UCUCUUCUGGUACAUCUGUCCGUGAAAAAUUGCCUUUAAACGUUUUUCUUCGAUGAGGUUUAACUGGUCAUAUCGAGCUCGAACCCAUUCUGCCUCCUCUAGUUUCGAAUCCAUUAAGACUCGUAAAGAGGGGAUCUCAACUUCGAUAGGUAGCACAGCUUCUAUUCCAUAGACCAGAGAGAAAGGAGUUGCCCCCGUAGAUGUCCG
rnacentral:lncRNA from 1 species